CCUGUUUGGAUUACCCAUUUAAGCGAGGAAAUGUUUAUUUCUUAAAAUCCUUUUUCUUUUUAUUUUGUUUUCUCUUUUUCCUUAUUUCCUCCGUUUCUCUUCCUCGCACACCCGAGCCGCUCCCUUCUUCUUCGCCCGACGUCGUCUCCCCCUGCCCUAACUGCUCGAGGCAGUUCUUCUCUUCUCCUUUUAUUUUCCUUCUUCUUCUCCACUUCGCCUUCCAGUGCCGAGCUCUUUCUCCACUUGGCAGCGACGCCGACCACCUCCUCUGUACCGGCCACCAGAUCUGCCCCAGUGCCGUUGUCGCCUUUGCCCUAGCGCCGCCGCCGAGCCUAGCAUCUCCACCGAUGCCGAGCAGUGCCGGCGUCCCAUCCUCUGCCCUAGACUCACUCAGCACCGUCGGCCACCCAUGCCCUAGCCACUGCUUACUUCUUGAAGUGGUUUUGCUCGGGUUGUUUCCGGCCAGAAGCAAGGAUUCAAUUUAUUGCUUCUUCCUCUCUGCCACAUCUCGGCAUAGCGCCGCUGGCCACAGGAAACCCUAGUUGAGUGUAGCCCUAGCCAGUAUUCAACAGCCGCUGGAACCAGCCGCCGAAGAAGGAACUGCUGAUUCGAGGAAGCCACAAGGUUCCUGGCAGCAACUUCGCUGUGACUUCGGCAACAAAUUUCUAGCAUCAAUAGGGGGCUGUGAGAAUUGAGGUAAGGUGUAGUGUAAUUGUUUCUUAUGUUGUAGUGUGUACUGAUUUGAAGGAAAGGUUAGGAAUGAGAUUAGACUCAAAUUUUUAUUGAGUUCAGGUUGACUA